rnacentral:piRNA from 1 species
GGAUUUCACUGGAAUCGGUCAU